rnacentral:rRNA from 1 species
GGUUAAGCGACUAAGCGUACACGGUGGAUGCCCUGGCAGUCAGAGGCGAUGAAGGACGUGCUAAUCUGCGAUAAGCGUCGGUAAGGUGAUAUGAACCGUUAUAACCGGCGAUUUCCGAAUGGGGAAACCCAGUGUGAUUCGUCACACUAUCAUUAACUGAAUCCAUAGGUUAAUGAGGCGAACCGGGGGAACUGAAACAUCUAAGUACCCCGAGGAAAAGAAAUCAACCGAGAUUCCCCCAGUAGCGGCGAGCGAACGGGGAGCAGCCCAGAGCCUGAAUCAGUGUGUGUGUUAGUGGAAGCGUCUGGAAAGGCGCGCGAUACAGGGUGACAGCCCCGUACACAAAAAUGCACAUACUGUGAGCUCGAUGAGUAGGGCGGGACACGUGGUAUCCUGUCUGAAUAUGGGGGGACCAUCCUCCAAGGCUAAAUACUCCUGACUGACCGAUAGUGAACCAGUACCGUGAGGGAAAGGCGAAAAGAACCCCGGCGAGGGGAGUGAAAAAGAACCUGAAACCGUGUACGUACAAGCAGUGGGAGCACGCUUAGGCGUGUGACUGCGUACCUUUUGUAUAAUGGGUCAGCGACUUAUAUUCUGUAGCAAGGUUAACCGAAUAGGGGAGCCGAAGGGAAACCGAGUCUUAACUGGGCGUUAAGUUGCAGGGUAUAGACCCGAAACCCGGUGAUCUAGCCAUGGGCAGGUUGAAGGUUGGGUAACACUAACUGGAGGACCGAACCGACUAAUGUUGAAAAAUUAGCGGAUGACUUGUGGCUGGGGGUGAAAGGCCAAUCAAACCGGGAGAUAGCUGGUUCUCCCCGAAAGCUAUUUAGGUAGCGCCUCGUGAAUUCAUCUCCGGGGGUAGAGCACUGUUUCGGCAAGGGGGUCAUCCCGACUUACCAACCCGAUGCAAACUGCGAAUACCGGAGAAUGUUAUCACGGGAGACACACGGCGGGUGCUAACGUCCGUCGUGAAGAGGGAAACAACCCAGACCGCCAGCUAAGGUCCCAAAGUCAUGGUUAAGUGGGAAACGAUGUGGGAAGGCCCAGACAGCCAGGAUGUUGGCUUAGAAGCAGCCAUCAUUUAAAGAAAGCGUAAUAGCUCACUGGUCGAGUCGGCCUGCGCGGAAGAUGUAACGGGGCUAAACCAUGCACCGAAGCUGCGGCAGCGACGCUUAUGCGUUGUUGGGUAGGGGAGCGUUCUGUAAGCCUGCGAAGGUGUGCUGUGAGGCAUGCUGGAGGUAUCAGAAGUGCGAAUGCUGACAUAAGUAACGAUAAAGCGGGUGAAAAGCCCGCUCGCCGGAAGACCAAGGGUUCCUGUCCAACGUUAAUCGGGGCAGGGUGAGUCGACCCCUAAGGCGAGGCCGAAAGGCGUAGUCGAUGGGAAACAGGUUAAUAUUCCUGUACUUGGUGUUACUGCGAAGGGGGGACGGAGAAGGCUAUGUUGGCCGGGCGACGGUUGUCCCGGUUUAAGCGUGUAGGCUGGUUUUCCAGGCAAAUCCGGAAAAUCAAGGCUGAGGCGUGAUGACGAGGCACUACGGUGCUGAAGCAACAAAUGCCCUGCUUCCAGGAAAAGCCUCUAAGCAUCAGGUAACAUCAAAUCGUACCCCAAACCGACACAGGUGGUCAGGUAGAGAAUACCAAGGCGCUUGAGAGAACUCGGGUGAAGGAACUAGGCAAAAUGGUGCCGUAACUUCGGGAGAAGGCACGCUGAUAUGUAGGUGAAGUCCCUCGCGGAUGGAGCUGAAAUCAGUCGAAGAUACCAGCUGGCUGCAACUGUUUAUUAAAAACACAGCACUGUGCAAACACGAAAGUGGACGUAUACGGUGUGACGCCUGCCCGGUGCCGGAAGGUUAAUUGAUGGGGUCAGCGCAAGCGAAGCUCUUGAUCGAAGCCCCGGUAAACGGCGGCCGUAACUAUAACGGUCCUAAGGUAGCGAAAUUCCUUGUCGGGUAAGUUCCGACCUGCACGAAUGGCGUAAUGAUGGCCAGGCUGUCUCCACCCGAGACUCAGUGAAAUUGAACUCGCUGUGAAGAUGCAGUGUACCCGCGGCAAGACGGAAAGACCCCGUGAACCUUUACUAUAGCUUGACACUGAACAUUGAGCCUUGAUGUGUAGGAUAGGUGGGAGGCUUUGAAGUGUGGACGCCAGUCUGCAUGGAGCCGACCUUGAAAUACCACCCUUUAAUGUUUGAUGUUCUAACGUUGACCCGUAAUCCGGGUUGCGGACAGUGUCUGGUGGGUAGUUUGACUGGGGCGGUCUCCUCCUAAAGAGUAACGGAGGAGCACGAAGGUUGGCUAAUCCUGGUCGGACAUCAGGAGGUUAGUGCAAUGGCAUAAGCCAGCUUGACUGCGAGCGUGACGGCGCGAGCAGGUGCGAAAGCAGGUCAUAGUGAUCCGGUGGUUCUGAAUGGAAGGGCCAUCGCUCAACGGAUAAAAGGUACUCCGGGGAUAACAGGCUGAUACCGCCCAAGAGUUCAUAUCGACGGCGGUGUUUGGCACCUCGAUGUCGGCUCAUCACAUCCUGGGGCUGAAGUAGGUCCCAAGGGUAUGGCUGUUCGCCAUUUAAAGUGGUACGCGAGCUGGGUUUAGAACGUCGUGAGACAGUUCGGUCCCUAUCUGCCGUGGGCGCUGGAGAACUGAGGGGGGCUGCUCCUAGUACGAGAGGACCGGAGUGGACGCAUCACUGGUGUUCGGGUUGUCAUGCCAAUGGCACUGCCCGGUAGCUAAAUGCGGAAGAGAUAAGUGCUGAAAGCAUCUAAGCACGAAACUUGCCCCGAGAUGAGUUCUCCCUGACCCUUUAAGGGUCCUGAAGGAACGUUGAAGACGACGACGUUGAUAGGCCGGGUGUGUAAGCGCAGCGAUGCGUUGAGCUAACCGGUACUAAUGAACCGUGAGGCUUAACCUU